AGUUUCUUAGCUUAGUGGUUAGAGCGCCGUUUUUACAUGCCGGAGGUCCUGAGUUCGAAUCUCAGAGAAACUACCA
rnacentral:tRNA from 1 species